rnacentral:rRNA from 1 species
CAGGACGAACGCUGGCGGCGUGCCUAACACAUGCAAGUCGAGCGGAGACUUAUCAGAUGAGAGCUUCGGCAGGAUUCGGGUAAGUUUAGCGGCGGACGGGUGAGUAACGCGUGAGCAAUCUGUCUCAGACAGGGGGAUAACGCAGCGAAAGUUGCACUAAUACCGCAUGAGACCACAGGGCCACAUGGCCAAGGGGUCAAAGGAGCAAUCCGGUCUGAGGUGAGCUCGCGUCCUAUUAGGUAGUUGGUGAGGUAACGGCCCACCAAGCCGACGAUAGGUAGCCGACCUGAGAGGGUGAUCGGCCACACUGGAACUGAGACACGGUCCAGACUCCUACGGGAGGCAGCAGUGGGGAAUAUUGGGCAAUGGGCGAAAGCCUGAACCCCAGCAACGCCGCGUGAGUGAAGAAGGUCUUCGGAUUGUAAAUCUCUGUCCUAAGAGAAGAGGGGAAGACGGUAUCUUAGGAGGAAGCCCCGGCUAACUACGUGCCAGCCGCAGC